UACAGAGGGUGCAAGCGUUGCUCGGAAUUAUUGGGCGUAAAGGGUAGGUAGGUGGUCUCAUUUGUCAGGGGUGAAAGCCUUGGGCUUAACUCAAGAAGUGCCCCUGAAACGGUGAGACUAGAGUGCUGGAGAGGGUCGUGGAAUUCCCGGUGUAGCGGUGAAAUGCGUAGAGAUCCGGAGGAACACCAGCGGCGAAGGCGGCAUCCUGGACUGGUCCUGACACUCAUGAGCGAAAGCGUGGGGAGCGAUCCGG
rnacentral:rRNA from 1 species